UACGUAGGGGGCGAGCGUUAUCCGGAUUUAUUGGGCGUAAAGCGUGUGUAGGCGGUUUGUUAAGUCUAAAAUCAAAGCCCGAGGCUCAACCUCGGUUCGUUUUAGAAACUGGCAGACUUGAGUGCAGUAGAGGCAAGUGGAAUUUCUAGUGUAGCGGUUAAAUGCGUAGAUAUUAGAAGGAACACCAGUGGCGAAGGCGGCUUGCUGGGCUGUAACUGACGCUGAGACACGAAAGCGUGGGGAGCAAAUAGG
rnacentral:rRNA from 1 species